rnacentral:rRNA from 1 species
CCUACGGGUGGCAGCAGUGAGGAAUAUUGGUCAAUGGACGCAAGUCUGAACCAGCCAUGCCGCGUGCAGGAAGACGGCUCUAUGAGUUGUAAACUGCUUUUGUACGAGGGUAAACGCAGAUACGCGUAUCUGUCUGAAAGUAUCGUACGAAUAAGGAUCGGCUAACUCCGUGCCAGCAGCAACGGUAAUACGGAGGAUUCCAGCGUUAUUCGGAUUUAUUGGGGUUAAAGGGUGCGUAGGCGGUCGGGUAAGUUAGGGGUGAAAUCCUGGGGUACAAAUUCGGUAUUGCCUCUGAUACUGGUCGGCUAGAGAGUAGGUGCGGUUGGCGGAAUGUAUGGUGUAGCGGUGAAAUGCUUAGAGAUCAUACAGAACACCGAUUGCGAAGGCAGCUUACCAAGCUACUUCUGACGUUGAGGCACGAAAGCGUGGGGAGCAAACAGGAUUAGAUACCCGGGUAGUC